ensembl:lncRNA
UACAGGUGAUGAGUGUUAUUGUAAAGGUAUAUAUGACCUAACAUUAAUACUAGAUGAAUCAGGUAGUAUAGGUAAAAACAGGUGGGAAAAACAAGUUUUUCCAUUUACUACAAAGCUUGUUAAUAAUUUGGAUAUUGCUGCUGAUAAAGUACAUAUUGGAAUAAUGUUAUUUGCUAGACAUAAUAGAGAUUUUAUUACAUUUAAUGAUGAUCAAAGUUCAGAUAAAACAAAGCUAGAGGAAGCAGUUAACAAAGGUUUAAGUAUUUAUCAAGAAGGAGGUGCAACAUAUAUAAAUAAUGCGAUGGAAUAUGCUUUUAAAUUAUACACAAACGAUCCACACAGUAGAUCCUCUGUACCUAAGGUAACUAUAUUAUUUACUGAUGGUAAUGAAUCUUAUCCACAUGAUAAAAAAUUAACUGAAAUUGUUUCCCAAUAUAAAAAUGCACAUGUAAAGUUGUUAGUACUUGGUGUUGGAUUAGCUGAUCCAAAUCGAUUAAGAUUGAUAGGUGGAUGUACUAUAAAAGAUGAUAAUUGUCCUAAUGUUAUAAAAACAGUAUGGGAAAACAUGGAAAAUAUAUCAAAAAUAAUAUAUAAUAAAAUAUGUGACACAGAUGCACCUGAAAAACCACCUAUCACACCUAUUGAAACUGAAAAAGAACCACCCAAUAAACCUAUUAAAACUGAAAAAGAANNNNNNNNNNCCAAUAAACCUAUUAAAACUGAAAAAGAACCACCCAAUAAACCUAUUGAAACUGAAAAAGAACCACCCAAUAAACCUAUUGAAACUGAAAAAGAACCACCCAAUAAACCUAUUGAAACUGAAAAAGAACCACCCAAUAAACCUGGUGAAACUGAUACUAAGCCAGUAACAUGUACAGGUGAUGAGUGUUAUUGUAAAGGUAUAUAUGACCUAACAUUAAUACUAGAUGAAUCAGCUAGGAUAAGUAACAGAAGGUGGGAACAGCAAGUUUUUCCAUUUACUGCAAGACUUGUUAAUAAUUUGGAUGUUGCUGCUGAUAAAGUAAAUGUUGGAAUAAUGUUAUUUGGCACACAUCAUAGAGAUUUUGUUAAAUAUGGUGAUAUAGAGAGUUCAGAUAAAAUAAAGUUAGAAGAAAAAAUAAUUAAAGAAUUAAGUAUUUAUCAUGUUGGAGGUCUUACAUAUAUAAAUAAAUCGAUGGAAUAUGCUUUUGAAGAAUACAUAUACCAUCCAAAAAGUAGACCUCAUGUAUCUAAGGUAACUAUUUUAUUUACUGAUGGUAAUGAAACUCAUCCAGAUAAUAAUAGAUUAUCUAAAAUUCUUUCCAAAUAUGAAAAUGCAAAUGUAAAGUUGUUAGUACUUGGUGUUGGAAACGCUGAUCCAUAUAGAUUAAGAACAAUAGGUGGAUGCAUUGCAACAGAUGCUAGUUGUCCUAAUGUUAUAAAAACAGAAUGGGAAAAUUUGGGAAAUAUAUCAAAAAUAAUAUAUGAUAAAAUAUGUAGCGCAGAUGGACCUGAACCUUCACCUGAAUCAUUUGAACAUAAAUGUGACAAAUCUUUUGAUUUAGCUAUCGUUUUUGAUCAAUCAUCUAAUAUAAGUAAUGAACAGUGGGAAAACUAUGUAAAACCUUUUGCAAUGUCUACGGUUAAAUACCAUCAUUUAUCGCAUAAUACGACACGUGUGACUUUAGUAAAAAUGAGUAACGUAUCUAAAAUGGAAUGGGAUUUAAGCAAAACUAUAAGCUAUGAUAAAAAGAAAAUUAUUAAAAAAAUAAGAAAAAUGUUAACAUCACAUUCAUUUAAAAAAGAUAUAGCCAAUAAUUUAAGGUAUUUAAGAACAGAAGUUUUUGGUAAAUCAUCAAAUAAUAGAAAAAAACAAGUCGUAAUGUUAGUAGAAGGAAAAUCAAAUACUAAUAUGGAUGAACUAAGAAAAGAAGUUGGGUUAUUAAAAAUAGCUAAGAUAAAUUUAUUUGUAUAUGCAAUUGAUACUAUUGACGAAACAGAGUACAAAAUUCUUGGAGAUUGUGAAAGCUCACAUACUAAAUGUAAAAAUAUAUAUAAGGUAUCUUGGGAUAAUUUAUUAUCUACUACAGAAAUACAAAAUGAUUAUAUUUGCAAACAAUAUCCAGAAAAUGCACAGUGUGCUGAAUGGGGAGAAUGGAGUGAUUGUCCUUACUCAGGAAAAUGUCGACAUUAUUACAGCAAAAGAGUAAGAAAUGAAAACAUUUUUACAAUAAAAGAAGCAGAAAUCAAUGAUCAGGGAGUUGGUAGUGAUUGUAAUGAUUUAGGAAGUAAUGUAGAAUACAGAGGAUGUCCUUUAAGAGAUAUAGAUUGUAUAGAUUUUUGUGGUGAAUUUGGUGAAUGGAGUGAAUGUAGUGCUUCAUGCGGUGGUGGUAUUAGAAUAAAAACGAGAAAGUUUCUUGAAUCUAAUAAAACUUGUAAAAAUGCUGAUUUAACUUUAAUAGAAAGUUGUAAUGUUCAAAGUUGUGAUGUUAUUGAGACAUGUAAGGAUAUCGGAGAAUGGGGUGAAUGGUCUACAUGCUCAGAAUCAUGUGGAUAUUCUACAAGAGAAAGAAAUUUUAAUAUUUUAGAUUCAGAUAUUGUGCAACAUAUACAUUGCGCAGAUUAUAAAGAAAAAGAAACAGAGGUAUGUUCAGUUCCAAAAUGUGAUGAUGAAAAAUGCUUUGAAUGGGAAGAUUGGAGCGAAUGGUCUCGACCUUGUGGAACUAGAAAAAGAGUUCAAAGACCCCGCUUGUUAGGAAAUAAUGGUAACAAGAACUAUUCACAUGAAGGACAAAAUGAAAAUUCUUGCGAGGAUAGCUAUGAAAACAAAGUUGAAUAUGAUGAAGGAGAACCAUGUGGUAUAGAUAUGUGUGGACAUUGGUUAGAAUGGUCAGCAUGUAAUAAAACCUGUGGUGUUGGUGUUAGAUUUAGGCGCUUUAUCUCUCAUAUACCAACUUUGUCUGGAGGAGAAAAUGAUGUGUGUUUAGAUUACAUGAAUUUAACUGAAACAGAGCCAUGUUUAAAUUUACCUUUAUGUCAUCCAGGUGAAUGUAAUGAAUGGGAAACUUUUGUUUCUUGUGAGGAUUUAGAAAAAGAAUCAACAUCUUGUCAUAUACCAAAGAAAACAAUACUAACACGAAAAUUAGACUUAUUGACACAUAAGAAAGAAAACGUACCAGAAGAAUGUGUAGAUUAUGGAUAUUUUAAAGAAGAAGAAUGUAAAAAUACAGUUUCUAAAUGCAAUAAUAAUGCUGUAUGUAAUGAAUGGGAAGAAUGGGGAGAUUGUUCAGAACCAUGUGGAACAUCAACAAAAUCUAGAAGAAGAAAAGAACCUUUAGAAUUAAUCCCUGCAACAGUAGAUAGUAAUGGAAAAAUGGGUUUAACUUGUUUGGAACAACAUUUAACAGUUGAAGAGACAAAUGUAUGUGAAGUUCCCAUGUGUUUAUCUACAGAACCAGAGCUCGAAGAUGGACCAAACGACGAUAAUGAACGUAAGCAUCGUUCUAAAAUAACCCAAAGAGUAACUUUAGGUGCCGGUAUUAUAGGGUUAAUACUUUUAGCAGGAGGUGGUGUAGUAUAUGGUUAUAAUGCUUUAAAUGGAGGUGAAAAACCAGAUUCUUCUAACAUGGAAUUUGAAAACGUUGAAAAUGAUAUUGGCGAUCAAGAAGUAAAUGAAGAUUUUGAAGUAAUUGACGCAAAUGAUCCAAUGUGGAAUUAAGCGAUUGUGUUGUUUAAGUAAGAGUAGAUAACACAUAUAGACAAAUAACAUGUGCAUAUAUUUCCGCAAAACGUAUUAAAUUAAAUAUAUUUUCUGCUUUUUUAAUUUAUUUGGUAUUAUAUGUUUUUUUUUUUUUUUUUUUUGUAAACGCUAGUUUUUUUUUGUAAACACUAGUUUUUUUUUGAGUUUUUAUUCGUUUUUUAGUAUUAUCUUUUUUACAUUUUUUUUUUUUUUUAAAUGGUUCAUAAUAUUACUUGUUAUGUGACAUUGUAAAUAAAAUAUGAACACUGUUACA